rnacentral:rRNA from 1 species
GACGAACGCUGGCGGCAUGCCUAAUACAUGCAAGUCGAGCGAACAUUUGUGGAGGCUUGCUUUUAUAAAUGUGAGCGGCUGGGGGGUGAGUAACGCGUUUGCAAUCUACACUGCAGUUGGAGAUAACUCCGAGAAACCAGGUCUAAUACCAUAUAAUCAUUGUAUGCGCAUGGCCAUACUCUAAGAGGCUGCUGCGGCUCUCACUGCAUGAUUAGCCCGCGGCUCAUUUGCUAGUUGAUGUAAUAGCGUACUACCAAGGCAACGAUGCGUAGCCGACAUGAGAGGGUGAUCGGCCACACUGGAACUGAGACACGGCCCAGACUCCUACGGGAGGCAGCAGUAGGGAAUCUUCCACAAUGGACGGAAGUUUGAUGGAGCAAUGCCGCGUGAGUGAAGAAGGUUUUCGGAUCGUAAAGCUCUGUUGUUAGGGAAGAACAAGUAUGGGAGUAACUGAGCGCAUCUUGACGGUACCUAAUCAGAAAGCCACGGCUAACUACGUG